rnacentral:rRNA from 1 species
GACGAACGCUGGCGGCGUGCCUAAUACAUGCAAGUCGAGCGGACAGACGGGAGCUUGCUCCCUGAUGUUAGCGGCGGACGGGUGAGUAACACGUGGGUAACCUGCCUGUAAGACUGGGAUAACUCCGGGAAACCGGGGCUAAUACCGGAUGGUUGUCUGAACCGCAUGGUUCAGACAUAAAAGGUGGCUUCGGCUACCACUUACAGAUGGACCCGCGGCGCAUUAGCUAGUUGGUGAGGUAACGGCUCACCAAGGCAACGAUGCGUAGCCGGCCUGAGAGGGUGAUCGGCCACCAUGGGACUGAGACACGGCCCAGACUCCUACGGGAGGCAGCAGUAGGGAAUCUUCCGCAAUGGACGAAAGUCUGACGGAGCAACGCCGCGUGAGUGAUGAAGGUUUUCGGAUCGUAAAGCUCUGUUGUUAGGGAAGAACAAGUGCCGUUCAAAUAGGGCGGCACCUUGACGGUACCUAACCAGAAAGCCACGGCUAACUACGUG